rnacentral:rRNA from 1 species
GAUGAACGCUGGCGGCGUGCCUAAUACAUGCAAGUCGAGCGAACAGACGAGGAGCUUGCUCCUCUGACGUUAGCGGCGGACGGGUGAGUAACACGUGGAUAACCUACCUAUAAGACUGGGAUAACUUCGGGAAACCGGAGCUAAUACCGGAUAAUAUAUUGAACCGCAUGGUUCAAUAGUGAAAGACGGUUUUGCUGUCACUUAUAGAUGGAUCCGCGCCGCAUUAGCUAGUUGGUAAGGUAACGGCUUACCAAGGCGACGAUGCGUAACCGACCUGAGAGGGUGAUCGGCCACACUGGAACUGAGACACGGUCCAGACUCCUACGGGAGGCAGCAGUAGGGAAUCUUCCGCAAUGGGCGAAAGCCUGACGGAGCAAAGCCGCGUGAGUGAUGAAGGUCUUCGGAUCGUAAAACUCUGUUAUUAGGGAAGAACAAAUGUGUAAGUAACUAUGCACGUCUUGACGGUACCUAAUCAGAAAGCCACGGCUAACUACGUG